rfam:Desulfobacula toluolica Tol2 complete genome
UUGAGCCGUAUGACGGGAAACUGUCACGUACGGUUCUGAGGGGGGAAAGAGGCCGUAAGGCCUCUUUUCUACCCGAU